rnacentral:tRNA from 1 species
GUGGAUGUAGCUCAUCAGUAGAGCGCCGCACUGUGGAUGCGGAGGUAGCGGGAGCAUCACCCGUCAUCCACC